rnacentral:rRNA from 1 species
UCCUAGUACGAGAGGACCGGAGUGGACGAACCUCUGGUGUUCCGGUUGUCACGCCAGUGGCAUUGCCGGGUAGCUAUGUUCGGAAAAGAUAACCGCUGAAAGCAUCUAAGCGGGAAACUUGCCUCAAGAUGAGAUCUCACUGGGAACUUGAUUCCCCUGAAGGGCCGUCGAAGACUACGACGUUGAUAGGCUGGGUGUGUAAGCGUUGUGAGGCGUUGAGCUAACCAGUACUAAUUGCCCGUGAGGCUUGACCAUAUAACACCCAAACA